UCACCCCUCAAGCCCCUCGGCUUGGUGUUGGACGGUUUGGCGGAGACCAUGUCUCCACCCCUCCCAAAGACAAUGACGGCGGCCUCGUUGGACCCCCGGUACAUUGAGUUCUUCACGGGACACGUACUGGACACAAGGGUGCGCGGGGCCCGGUCUGACCUCCCCUUCAAGGGAGAACUUUUCACAA
rnacentral:misc_RNA from 1 species